rnacentral:lncRNA from 1 species
GUCAGGGUCUCUCCAUGGCCUGGAGCAGGCUCCCAGUGCAUGGAGCUGCACUUGGCACUGAAAGGGGAGCCAGCAGCGGAGGGAUGAUCCCCUGGGACAAGCCUGGGUGUUGCUCUUGGCACAGAAAGGUUUUCCUGAAUGGAAAAUUGCUGACUCUCAGCAGGAGACGCAUUUCAAAGGUUUGCUGACUUUUUAAUAUACAGCAUAUCAAGUUCACACCUGUUCCUGUCCUGAACAUUCUGGUAGAGAAAUUGAUGUCAGACUAAGAGGAGAAUUCCAGGUAUGUGCCACAAUUACCACACAAACUUUUUCUGAAAUAGUUAACAGGCACUUGAUUGAAAACAUCUGAUAUUUAUU